rnacentral:rRNA from 1 species
UACAGAGGGUGCGAGCGUUAAUCGGAUUUACUGGGCGUAAAGCGUGCGUAGGCGGCUUUUUAAGUCGGAUGUGAAAUCCUGAGCUUAACUAGGAAUUGCAUUCGAUACUGGGAAGCUAGAGUAUGGGAGAGGAUGGUAGAAUUCCAGGUGUAGCGGUGAAAUGCGUAGAGAUCUGGAGGAAUACCGAUGGCGAAGCAGCCAUCUGGCAUAAUACUGACGCUGAGGUACGA